GACGAACGCUGGCGGCGUGCCUAAUACAUGCAAGUCGAACGAAGCUGUUUUAACUGGUGCUUGCACCGACUUAAACAACUGAGUGGCGAACGGGUGAGUAACACGUGGGUAACCUGCCCCAAAGCGGGGGAUAACAUUUGGAAACAGAUGCUAAUACCGCAUAACCACAGAAACCACAUGGUUUCUGUGUCAAAGAUGGUUUCGGCUAUCACUUUGGGAUGGACCCGCGGCGUAUUAGCUAGUUGGUAAGGUAAUGGCUUACCAAGGCAAUGAUACGGAGCCGAACUGAGAGGGUGAUCGGCCAAAUUGGGACUGAGACACGGCCCAAACUCCUACGGGAGGCAGCAGUAGGGAACCUUACACAAUGGACGAAAGUCUGAUGGAGCAACGCCGCGUGAGUGAAGAAGGUUUUCGGAUCGUAAAACUCUGUUGUCAGAGAAGAACGUGUGCGAGAGUAACUGCUCGUGCAGUGACGGUAUCUGGCCAGAAAGCCACGGCUAACUACGUGCCAGCCGCCGCCGUAA
rnacentral:rRNA from 1 species